rnacentral:rRNA from 1 species
UGAACACUGGUCCUUGAUGUGUAGGAUAGGUGGGAGGCUUUGAAGCGUGGACGCCAGUCUGCGUGGAGCCAACCUUGAAAUACCACCCUUUAAUGGCUGGUGUUCUAACGUGGACCCGUAAUCCGGGUUGCGGACAGUGUCUGGUGGGUAGUUUGACUGGGGCGGUCUCCUCCCAAAGAGUAACGGAGGAGCACGAAGGUUGGCUAAUCCUGGUCGGACAUCA